UACGUAUGGUGCAAGCGUUAUCCGGAUUUACUGGGCGUAAAGGGAGCGCAGGCGGCGCGCCAAGUCUGAUGUGAAACCCCGGGGCUCAACCCCGGGCAUGCAUUGGAAACUGGCGGGCUGGAGUGCCGGAGAGGUAAGCGGAAUUCCUAGUGUAGCGGUGAAAUGCGUAGAUAUUAGGAGGAACACCAGUGGCGAAGGCGGCUUACUGGACUGUAACUGACGUUGAGGCUCGAAAGCGUGGGGAGCAAACAGG
rnacentral:rRNA from 1 species